UAUAAAAGCAGUCAGCAAUUCUUGCUCAUCAUAAUCCAUUCAAAAAGCGUUUCAGCAAUUCUCGUUGUUUAAAAUAAUGAUUUUCUGCGGAAGAGUUUGUUGACUUCGUCUUUUUCGUUGGAUAUUGGUUUUCUAAUCUCUAAAUUUGUUGGAUAAUGUAAAGAGAAACUCAUAAUAUAUUAGUUUCUUUCUUAGUUUGUUUCUGAAAAUAUUCUUAAAAAUAUAAAAUUCAUUCUACACAUUUUAACAAAAGAAAUGAGAAACAACAUUUUCUUAUUUUCCUUAUUUUCCAAUACAAUAUUAAGUUCCAAAAUGAAGAAUUCUCUUUACCUCCUCCUAAAAUAAUAAUAAUAUCAACAUUAUUAUUAUUAUCAUUCAUUCUACACAUUUUAACAAAAGAAAUGAGAAACAACUUUUUCUUAUUUUCCUUAUUUCCCAAUACAAUAUUAAGUUCCAAAAUGAAGAAUUCUCUUUACCUCCUCCUGAAAUAAUAAUAAUAUCAA
rnacentral:lncRNA from 1 species